rnacentral:rRNA from 1 species
UGGGGGAUAUUGCACAAUGGGCGCAAGCCUGAUGCAGCGACGCCGCGUGGGGGAUGAAGGCCUUCGGGUUGUAAACUUCUUUUGCUCUGAACAAGGCGCACUUUGGGGUGUGUUGAGUGUAGGGGUUGAUUAGCGCCGGCUAACUACGUGCCAGCAGCCGCGGUAAUACGUAGGGCGGGAGCGUUGUCCGGAAUUAUUGGGCGUAAAGGGCUUGUAGGUGGCUGGUUGCGUCUGUCGUGAAAGCUCAUGGCUUAACUGUGGGUUUGCGGUGGGUACGGGCUGGCUUGAGUGCAGUAGGGGAGGCUGGAAUUCCUGGUGUAGCGGUGGAAUGCGCAGAUAUCAGGAGGAAUACCGGUGGCGAAGGCGGGUCUCUGGGCUGUUACUGACACUGAGGAGCGAAAGCAUGGGGAGCGAACAGG